rnacentral:rRNA from 1 species
GACGAACGCUGGCGGCGUGCCUAAUACAUGCAAGUAGAACGCUGAAGCUUGGUGCUUGCACCGAGCGGAUGAGUUGCGCACGGGUGAGUAACGCGUAGGUAACCUGCCUGGUAGCGGGGGAUAACUAUUGGAAACGAUAGCUAAUACCGCAUAAGAGUAGAUGUUGCAUGACAUUUGCUUAAAAGGUGCAAUUGCAUCACUACCAGAUGGACCUGCGUUGUAUUAGCUAGUUGGUGAGGUAACGGCUCACCAAAGCAACGAUACAUAGCCGACCUGAGAGGGUGAUCGGCCACACUGGGACUGAGACACGGCCCAGACUCCCACGGGAGGCAGCAGUAGGGAAUCUUCGGCCAUGGACGGAAGUCUGACCGAGCAACGCCGCGUGAGUGAAGAAGGUUUUCGGAUCGUAAAGCUCUGUUGUAAGAGAAGAACGAGUGUGAGAGUGGAAAGUUCACACUGUGACGGUAUCUGACCAGAAAGGGACGGCUAACUACGUG